GACGAACGCUGGCGGCGUGCUUAACGCAUGCAAGUCGAACGGAAAGGCCCUGCUUGCAGGGUGCUCGAGUGGCGAACGGGUGAGUAACACGUGGGUGAUCUGCCCCUUAUUUUGGGAUAAGCCUGGGAAACUGGGUCUAAUACUGGAUAGGACCAUGCUGUAGGUGGUGUGGUGGAAAGAUUAGUUUCGGUAAGGGAUGAGCUCGCGGCCUAUCAGCUUGUUGGUGGGGUAAUGGCCUACCAAGGCGUCGACGGGUAGCCGGCCUGAGGGGGUGGACGGCCACAUUGGGACUGAGAUACGGCCCAGACUCCUACGGGAGGCAGCAGUGGGGAAGAGUGCACAAUGGGCGCAAGCCUGAUGCAGCGACGCCGCGUGGGGGAUGACGGCCUUCGGGUUGUAAACUCCUUUCAGCCAUGACGAAGCCCUUGUGGUGACGGUAGUGGUAGAAGAAGCACCGGCUAACUACGUG
rnacentral:rRNA from 1 species